CCCCUUGGAUCCCUAAAUCUAUCUAAUUUUUUUUCUUAUUUUUUUACUAAUUUUUUUAUCUUCUACUCUUAUUUCUGGACCCCCUAUUUAUAAGUAAAUUUUUUAUUUUUUUUAUCACAAAAGGAGUCCCAUAACCCUUAGAAUACAUAGUAUACUCGUAUGAAUUAAUUUUGGCCAUCAGAUUUCACUUGGACCAUCCAGAUCAGCCCAAAAUAUGGAGAUCAAAUACUUAUCACAGUCAAAAAUGAUG
rnacentral:lncRNA from 1 species